CAUCACCAGUUGCGGUGUUCUGAGCAGAAAGGGAAAGGGCAAGCCAAAUUGUGUUGUUUAAUGCUGAUUGACUUUGAAAUUUCUUUUGAAACAAAACUUGCUUUUGGUGAAGACCUAAUCUGACAUGAGUGCAGAGAAAAUGAAGAAGUAGCAGCAUUAUUACUAUCAUCCAAUCUUUAUUAAAAGCACACUAUGAAAAAAUCUGUUCUGAAGAGAAUAGGAACUGCUCUGACAUUUAAGCAAUUUUCAAACAUCCAGAACCAUUCAGAGUCAUAGUUAAAGGCACAUUUGUGAAGAGUGAGAACUGAGCCAAGAUGUUCAGCCUGACUCUGCUCCUGUCUCCUGGACCCAGAUGCCCGUCUUUUAGCUCUUCAGUGGAAAGAAAAAUCCUCAUUUGCUACAAUAUCCAGGAAUGCGUAUUGGCUUAUAAGCUUUCAGAAGGCUGGGGUUUGUUUUUUUUUUUUCAUAUAGUAGGUAAUAUAUCCUUAGGACUUCUAGGAAGGGCUUUGAUGUUCAUCUAGUAUAACUUUUUCAUUUAACACAUAGACACUAGAGAGCUGGAGCAUGAACUAAUGUCUACAAACCCAAGUUCCAUAGAAUCUAUCUUAUCUAAAUUAGCAUUAAGCUAUAACGUCAUCAUAAGUUAGAGUAUAGUAGCAUGUUCCAUGACUGUGAAAACAUGUAUUCACAAAGAGGAAUCUUCUACUUGAAAAUGUAUGUGAGAGCAAGAUAUUUGAAAGAAGAGCAAAGAGUAAAUAAACAAAAU